UACGGAGGGGGCAAGCGUUGUUCGGAAUUACUGGGCGUAAAGGGCGCGCAGGCGGCUGCUCAAGUCAGGCGUGAAAGGCCUGGGCUCAACCCGGGAAUUGCGCUUGAGACUGGGCUGGCUUGAGUGCGGGAGAGGAUGGUGGAAUUCCCAGUGUAGAGGUGAAAUUCGUAGAUAUUGGGAAGAACACCGGUGGUGAAGGCGGCCAUCUGGACCGCAACUGACGCUGAGGCGCGAAAGCGUGGGGAGCAAACAGG
rnacentral:rRNA from 1 species